rnacentral:rRNA from 1 species
UAGGGAAUAUUGGACAAUGGGGGCAACCCUGAUCCAGCCAUGCCGCGUGAGUGAAGAAGGCCCUCGGGUUGUAAAGCUCUUUUGUCCGGAAAGAAAAGCAUUCGGUGAAUACCCGGAUGUUCUGACGGUACCGGAAGAAUAAGCACCGGCUAACUUCGUGCCAGCAGCCGCGGUAAUACGAAGGGUGCAAGCGUUACUCGGAAUUACUGGGCGUAAAGCGUGCGUAGGUGGUUGUUUAAGUCUGAUGUGAAAGCCCUGGGCUCAACCUGGGAAUGGCAUUGGAAACUGGGCAGCUAGAGUGCGGUAGAGGGUAGUGGAAUUCCUGGUGUUGCAGUGAAAUGCGUAGAGAUCGGGAGGAACAUCUGUGGCGAAGGCGACUGCCUGGACCAGCACUGACACUGAGGCACGAAAGCGUGGGGAGCAAACA